GACGAACGCUGGCGGCGUGCCUAAUACAUGCAAGUAGAACGCAGUUGCGAACGGGUGAGUAACUCGUAGGUAACUGCCUGGUAGCGGGGGGUAACUAUUGGAGACGAUAGCUAAUACCGCAUACUACCAGAUGGACCUGCGUUGUAUUAGCUAGUUGGUGGGGUAACGGCUCACCAAGGCAACGAUACCUAGCCGACCUGAGAGGGUGAUCGGCCAAACUGGGACUGGGAAAAGGGCCAGACUCCUACGGGAGGCAGCAGUAGGGAAACUUCGGAAAUGGACGGAAGUCUGAACGAGCAACGCCGCGGGAGUGAAGAAGGGUUUCGGAUCGUAAAGCUCUGUUGUAAGAGAAGCGGUAUCUUACCAGAAAGCGACGGCUAACUCCGUGCCAGCCGCCGCGGUAAUAC
rnacentral:rRNA from 1 species